UUGACCUACGGGGGGCAGCAGUGGGGAAUAUUGCACAAUGGGGGGAACCAUGAUGCAGCGACGCCGCGUGAAGGAAGAAGUAUUUCGGUAUGUAAACUUCUAUCAGCAGGGAAGAAAAUGACGGUACCUGACUAAGAAGCCCCGGCUAAAUACGUGCCAGCAGCCGCGGUAAUACGUAUGGUGCAAGCGUUAUCCGGAUUUACUGGGUGUAAAGGGAGCGCAGGCGGUGCGGCAAGUCUGAUGUGAAAGCCCGGGGCUCAACCCCGGGACUGCAUUGGAAACUACCGAACUAGAGUGUCGGAGAG
rnacentral:rRNA from 1 species